UCUCACACUAUUCUCUCAUCUCCAGCUUUGAUACAAAAUAUAAAGAAUAAUGCUCCACAUAUCUCUCAAUUUCGGUGGGAAAUAGAGAAGAAAUAGAGAAGAAGUUUCACCCCUCCUUCAUGCAUCAUGAAUAUGAAUGCUUCUCUAUCGAGUCUAUAUAGAGCAAACGUCAAUUAGAUUAGCGAACCAGUCAUUUACACCCAGCAAAUAUUUUGCUGAGAACAAAUCAUGAGUGGUACUACUCCUGAGAAAGACCCUUCUCCCGAGCAGAAGCCUGAUGAAACCCAAACAGAAAUCACACCGAUCCAAGCCACUCAUCCACCAAAAUCAAAGGAUGAAUCGCCAGACCAAAACCAACAAAGCCAAUGCCAAUUACGCCCGCCACAACAAUCAGAAUCAAAGCGCAAGGGCAAAGGGACCAGUGACGAGCUCAGGAUAACAAUUCCUGAUGCAGUUUUUUAUGAUAAAAUGCGGGAAACAGACGGGAUGAGAUUUUUUAAUCCGCCCUUUGAACGAAAGUCAGAGUGGAUGGAGCCAGAGUUUACAUACUUCCCAAAGUACUCCCAAUCACAAAAUCCGCAAAACACUAUUCAAACGGGUCCUAUUCAACCCGGCGGGUCAAAUCCGGUGCAAGGGAACCCUCCCUCUCGGCCGUGGCGCCGAGUCAAGAAGCUUUUAUGCCUUUGUAUUUAAGCUUUUUUCACAUCCAGUGACAAAGCGUAACCAAAAGAGUGGCAAUGAAUUAAAUAUUCAUCGUCUAAUCUCCCACGGGACGGGAGAUAAGUUUCUGAGUUGUUUAUUCUAUUCUACUAGUUUACUAGCUGUGUUAUUUAUUUGAGCAAUUUUAUGUUAUUCUCAGACUAGUGCUAGCUGAAUAUAUAUAUAUAAUAAUAAUGCUAUAUAUUUUAAAUUUUUUUAUUACAAUAAUUCUAAAUGAAGUAAUGUUCAUCAAUUAAUCAGUAAACUAAUACAAUUAAUUCUUAGAUCUUAUAAAAAAAUUAUCAAUCACUUAUUCACUUAAUAAAUAACAUAUUAUUUAGGGUAAAAUUAUUAACUAUAAUACAACAUUAUUAUGUAUAUAUAAUAUAUUAUCUAUUAUUGAAAUACAUCAUCAGCGUUUAAAAUAAUUUACUAUAACACACCGCAAUUGCAUAAAAUAACUUAAAUUAUUUUUUAUCUAAUCAAUUAAUAAAUAUUUUAAAUCAUCAAAAAAUGGAAGAAAUACAAAUAAUUUUGGAAUUAAAAUUAUUAUGUAUUAAUUCUCUUACUUUACAAUUUUUCUUUUUCUUUUUUACUUUUACAUUUAGUAUCAAAAAUAUAUUUAAUAGCAUUAAAAUAAAUUUAAUUAACAAGUAAUGUUAUUUCAAUAAUACUUUAUAUAAAGAUAUUACAUAAAGUCUUCUAAUAAUUUGUAUUGUAUGAAUUUAAUUACAAACUACUAAUACCUAAACAAUAAUGAUAAUAGAAGGCAUUGUAAUAAAAUAUUUUAUAUAUGUUUAAUUAGUAAUACUAUGAGUCACAACAAAUGAGAAAUAUUUUAUUCACCAAUUAAAAAAAUAUGGCUAUACAAAUAUAUAGUGAGAAAUAUUUUGAUUUACAUUUUUAACAAAAAAUUAAACUAUUAAUUUCAUGCAAUUCAAUGUUGGAGGGUAUGACAUUAUGAAAUGUUGUUUUGACUUUCAAUAUUAAACAUUAGACUAUGGUAUAUUAAUGGCUCAAAUAUUGUGUCAAAAUUUUAAAUUAAAGUAUCCCAAAACAUGUCUUUAAAUAUUAAUGGAUUUAAUAUUUUAUUUAUUGUCACUAUUACUUAUCAUAAUAAAAGCAAUGGCUCUUAGUAACAUAAAAAUUUUAUAAUUACAAUCAAAGAAUAAUAAUAAAAUAAUAUUUCAUGAUUCAUAAACUAAAGUUAAUUAGGUAUAUGUGUUAGAUUAAACUUUUAUGAAAUUAACAAAGUGACAUUUGAAAAUAAAAUGAAAACAAGCUUGUGAAAGUUAAAUUUUAUAAGGCUUCGAUAAUUUUCUAUCAUGUAAAUAAAAAUAUAAAAAGAUUUCCUUUCCCAUUUUUUCCACGUAAAUAUUAUUGGAGGCAAUAUUUUAUUCAUUGUCACUAGUAAUUACGUAAUAAAAGUAAUGAUUCUUAGUAACAUAAAAUUUUAUAAUUACAAUCAAAGGGAUGUCAAUAAAAUAAUCUUUUAUGAUUCAUAAACUAAAGCUCAUUAGGAAUAUAUAUUAGACUUAAUUUUUAUGAAAUUAACAAAAGUGAUAUUUGAGAAUAAAAUGAAAAUAUAUAGGCUUGUAAAACUUAAAAUUCCUAUCAUGUAAGAAUAUUAAAUGGGUGUUAAAAAUAAUCUAUACUUCAUGAUCAAUUGUAAAAUGGUCUUUAGUAUUAUAUAAAAUAAUGAGCAUUUUAAUAUGCAAUUUUAAAUUUUAUUAAAACAUGAGUGAUCAAAUAGUUUUUAGGUUACAAGCAAUCUCACCAAUGAGUUUAUUGAUGUAGCUAUGACGUUUAUUUAGUUAUAUGUACUUAGUUGUGUUAUUUAUUAGUGUUAUAUCAUAUAUAAAUUUUACAAUUGUAAUUUAUUUAUUUGAUUUGUGUUAAAUAACCUACUUUAUAUUAUAUUUUAUACUUAAUGGUAAUAGAUUUUGGAGGAUUUAUUUAUAAAAGAUUAUCACAAUACAAUUUUAAAGGAGAGUUUAAAAGUAAUUUUAAAUAAAAUAUGUUAUUUAAGUGAAAUUGCUUCAAACUCUAGUGUUGGUCACAAUUAUUUUACAAAAAUUUAUCCACCUCUUGAACGCUUAACAAACUGUUUACCAUUAUUUUUAUUUUUUUUCUUUAGUAAAAAUAUUAUAUACUAUUAGAUUUAAUCCAAUGAUACACAAUUAAAACAUUAUUACUACUGUAAAAAAAUUACAAUAUCAUAUAGGAACUCGAGAAGAAAUGGUGAGGAAGUUCCACGGAAAUAGAGAAGAAGUUUCACCCCUACUUAUCCAACAUGAAUAUGAAUGCUUCUCUGUCGAGUCUAUAAAGCAAACGUCAAUUAGAUUAGCGAACUAGUCAUUUACACCCAGCAAAUAUUUUGCUGAUAACAAAUCAUGAGUGGUACUACUCCUGAGAAAGACCCUUCUCCUGAGCAGAAGAAGCCUGAUGAAACCCAAACAGAAACCACACGGAUCCAAGCCACUCAUACACCAAAAUCAAAGGAUGAAUUGCCCGACCAAAACCAACAAAGCCAAUGCCAAUUACGCCCGCCACAACAAUCAGAAUCAAAGCGCAAGGGCAAACAGACCCACACUAGCCAGUCCAGUGAAGAGCCCGGGAUAACAAGUCCUGAUGCAGUUGUUUAUGAACCAAACCAGUCUGAUGAAGAACUGCGAGAAUGCCAAAUGCGUGUGAUCAAAUUGGAAAAAAUUGUAGAAAAGGGCGGGCCUAUACCUAUCUAUGCAAUUAAGCGCUUUGAACAAAAGUCAGAGAUGAUGGAGGAAAAGUUUACGUCCUCCCCAGAGUAUUCCCAAUCACAAAAUCAGCAAAACAAUAUUCAAACGGGUCGUGCUAAUGCUAAUGGGCCAAGUCAACCCGGCGGAUCAAAUCCGGUGCAAGGGAACCCUCCCUCUCGGCUGGGGCGCCGAGUCAAUAGGCUUUUAUGCCUUCGUAAUUAUUAAUUAAGCUUUCUUCACAUCUAGUGACAAAGCGUAACCAAAAGAGUGGCAAUGAAUUAAAUAUUCAUCGUCUAAUCUCCCACGGGACGGGAGAUAAGUUUCUGAGUUGUUUAUUCUAUUCUAGUAGUUUUCUAGUUUUGUUAUUUAUUUGAGCAAUUUUAUGUUAUUCUCAGACCAGUGCUAGCUGAAAAAAAUAAAAUAAAAUAAAUAAUAAUAAUAAUAAUGCUAUAUAUUUUAAUUUUUUAUUA
rnacentral:lncRNA from 1 species